GUUUCGUUCUGUGCCAAGAUUAAAGACGAGGACGUUUUAGUUCAACAAGAGUCAAACUACGGCUGUGUCCAUCAGGACGUCGAUCUUCACGGUUACUCGUUCUUCAGAUCACUCAUGUAGCUCUUUAUGAGGAAGUGAAGGCAGGGAAAUAAAACACACUCGUUUCCAUCUGUCUGCGUUAUUUUGGACAAUAAAAAAAUGAAUGAUUCUCACGGCGAUCAAACGUAGUCGACGUGAGUGGACGCGGUGCCGCGGGCAGACCGGAGUCGGCAGCACAUAAAGGUGAACAUUCCUGUUGAAAGUCAGCUCCCGCAUUCCCUCUGCGAGCAGGAGGAGGAGGCGAAAAGGAGGAGGAGGAGGAGCAGGAGGCGCCUCUCCGGUUACACCGCCGGGAUACGCCGUCACAAAAACAAACGCACAGAACAGCAGCAAAAGGGGGAGGAGGGGGAGGAGUGAACACCGACGAAACGACCAAGAGUCCACGGAAACAGAUCGGAACAAGUUUGAAAUUAAAAAAUUAAAAAGUGAAUCAGCAGCAACAACGACAGCAUCAUUAGCUUUAGCUUAGUGACGUACUUCCG